UCAGGCAGCCACAGCCCACUUUCUCUCUCCUUCAAAUUCUCACAGCCCCCACUGUCACCUGCCUUGCCUGUGUCACUCUCAGCUCUCUGCAUGAGUACCUCUUUCCUGGCUUUUCUCUGCCCACAGGACAGGCGGCAGGGCCCCAGGGCAGAACUCCCUCCUGUGCUCGGGAAGCAGGCUGGCCAAAUGCGUAGGGAGCAGUUUCCAGCGAGCACGCCUUCGGCUGCAUCACUAAGCUGAGAAUGCUGAUCAUUUAUCCACUAGGCUUCCUGCCCUGGGUGUUUCAAGGCCGAUUUAGAGUCUGGGUGUUUUUGGUUAAGAUAUGGUGAAGAUCUCCCUCCUCACUGGCGGCAGCUGUUUCUGUCUAAAUGACAGUGUGUGUUCAGGAAACUUGUGUUCUGGAAAGGGCACAGGGGGCUCAGCGCCCCCUGUAGUGGGGCUGCAGCCUGGGAGACACGUGAGAGGAGAAAAGGAAGAUGCAGCCCUAAGACCGUCUGAGAGUCACCGAGUGGUGUUAAGUGAACCUGGUCACAGUUCCUCGCAAGUCCUUGCAGCGCUGAUGGUGAACGACACGGCUUAUUGGCAGCCAGGCGUUUUCAGAAUGAAAUUAAAUGCCGUUGGAAUGGUGGGAGGCCUUUCAUUCCACGUACCUGCUUGGGGCUUGGGUUGUAAAUAACCAGCAACCCGGGCCUUUCUUCUUCCCUUUCCUGCUGUGUUUCAAAAGUCCUUUACAAUUUGUGAUGGGAAGAAUGCCAACAACUCCAGAUCUCAAGGCCAUUUCUCAAAACUCAUUUGCAAACCAAAACACCAAGCCCGGUCUGCCUUCUUGGUGAUUUCACUUGGGGGAUACUCCUUGGAAGAGAGCCGUGGAUGCCCCCAGAGUGUCCGCUAGGUGACAUUCCAACGGAGCCUACCCAAGGCCAACGACUUCCUUCUAAAGCCCCAAAGUAAUUUGUUUUGCCAUGCUAUUCACACGCCAAAAGCAGCGAUUUGCCAGCCACAGCGAGCGCUCCCCGAGUCCCACGCACGAGGCGGCUCUGUGGGCGGAAGGAGGGCCCGGGCCCGACCAGCGAGCAGGACCAGCGAGUCGGGAGCACCGUCACACACGGUCCUCCCUAACGGGGGCGGCCACGCCCCUGGGCAGCACGGCGGGCCUGCGGCAGGCACAGCAGGCCUCCCCUUCUUCAGGGCAGGGGCCCAGGCCAGGUCCCACCCCACCUCUGACUUAGGACAAGCGGUUUCCUCUCCGUGUCUGUUUCCUCACCUGCAGGAGGAAGGAAAUAUUACCUGGACGCUGUGAAGUCUGAAGGAGAGAAAAGCAGAGAGCCCAGGCACAAACUGUCACCAUCACCAUCCCUCCUGCACUGGAGGAAAAGCCUUCCAAGGCAGGCCUUUUUCUCUCUCUGCUUUUAUGCAAAAAUGCAAGUGUGUCCAACUAAAUCAUGGCACCCGAGGCUGUGGCUCCUGCUCUAAAGGCUUCUGGAGGCAGAGAAGUGCAGCCUGCCCAGGAGGGCCCCACCAGCACCCUGGCCUUGGCUCUCCUGGCGUCUACUCUGCUGCUGUCGCAGGUUAAGCCCCACAAGGUCCCAGCUUGGCCCAGGGGCUCAAUGUCCUCAGGAAAAAAGCCCCUAAAGCAAAGAGAAGAAAGCUGCCCUCUGAAACACCUACCGCCUAACAGUAACUGUCACCUUAGUCCUGAGCCCUUCUCCCUCCAGGGCCCCCACCCUCCGGCCCUCCUAACCCUCCUGCAGGGGGCCUUGCAGCAGAAUAGCCACCUCAGGUCUCUGCUGGGAGGGUGGGAACCCACAGAGGCUGGGCCACGCUCCACGCCCAUAAGGGACUCUAAAUAUAUGAAUGGAACAUUCUCACUGCUGUAGAAAUGCAUUUUGAAACUUUAUCAGUACGUAUUGAUUUGGGGCAGAGACCAACUGCAUUUCGUUCAAAGUAAAGACGAAAUCCAUUUAAGUGACACUUCUCCUUGCUAGCUGCCCAGGGGCUCCAGGUGAGUCACCAUCACCUGUGUUCACACCUUCUGCCCACAGUGGACACACAAAGCCCUCGGACAGCUCGAGGCCAAGAAAAGGGGCUUUGCAAGUGAAGAAUGAAGAGCAGAACUGAGGGGCCGAUGCAGAUGUGCUGUCACCAGGCGCAACCACAUUACUGCUGAGGGCAGGCAUGGUCUAAACAGCCACUGUCCUGUUACAGAGGCAAAGCCUUGACGGAGAAGGGACAGGCCUGGUCCAGGCUCAGGCCCCAGGCCGGAAAGUUGCACUUUCUUUUCCACGGCUCUUCUCCCCUUCUCAAAACCAA